rnacentral:RNase_P_RNA from 1 species
GAAGUAAACCGGGCGGUCGCUGUCCCCGUUCUACGGGCGGGGAGAGAGGAAAGUCCGGGCUCCACAGAGCGGGAUACUCCCUAAUCGGGAGUGGGGGCGACCCCAAGGAAAGCGCCACAGAAAAGACACGGCCCACCCGGGACGGGUCUCCCGUCCCGGCGGCAAAGGUGAAAAGGCGAGGUAAGAGCUCACCGUGCCGCUGGCGACAGCGGUAGCAAGGCAAGCCCUAUCCGGAGCAAGACCAAAUAGGAAAGCGAUCGAGGACGGCUCGUCCGAGGCUUUCGGGUUGGUCGCUUGAGCCUGCCGGCAACGGCAGGCCUAGAUUGAUGACCGCCGCUCCAUGCAAAUGGAGAACAGAACCCGGCUUACAGGUUUACUUCGGCG